GAUGAACGCUAGCGGGAGGCCUAACACAUGCAAGCCGAGCGGUAGAGUUUCUUCGGAAACUUGAGAGCGGCGCACGGGUGCGUAACACGUGUGCAACCUACCUUUAUCUGGGGGAUAGCCUUUCGAAAGGAAGAUUAAUACCCCAUAAUAUAAUGAUUGGCAUCAAUUAUUAUUGAAAACUCCGGUGGAUAGAGAUGGGCACGCGCAAGAUUAGAUAGUUGGUGAGGUAACGGCUCACCAAGUCAAUGAUCUUUAGGGGUCUUGAGAGGGAGAUCCCCCACACUGGUACUGAGACACGGACCAGACUCCUACGGGAGGCAGCAGUGAGGAAUAUUGGACAAUGGGUGAGAGCCUGAUCCAGCCAUCCCGCGUGAAGGAUGACGGUCCUAUGGAUUGUAAACUUCUUUUGUACAGGGAUAAACCUACCCUCGUGAGGGUAGCUGAAGGUACUGUACGAAUAAGCACCGGCUAACUCCGUG
rnacentral:rRNA from 1 species